rnacentral:rRNA from 1 species
GACGAACGCUGGCGGCGUGCUUAACACAUGCAAGUCGAACGGAAAGGCCCUGCUUUUGUGGGGUGCUCGAGUGGCGAACGGGUGAGUAACACGUGAGUAACCUGCCCUUGACUUUGGGAUAACUUCAGGAAACUGGGGCUAAUACCGGAUAGGAGCUCCUGCUGCAUGGUGGGGGUUGGAAAGUUUCGGCGGUUGGGGAUGGACUCGCGGCUUAUCAGCUUGUUGGUGGGGUAGUGGCUUACCAAGGCUUUGACGGGUAGCCGGCCUGAGAGGGUGACCGGCCACAUUGGGACUGAGAUACGGCCCAGACUCCUACGGGAGGCAGCAGUGGGGAAUAUUGCACAAUGGGCGGAAGCCUGAUGCAGCAACGCCGCGUGCAGGAUGACGGCCUUCGGGUUGUAAACCGCUUUCGCCUGUGACGAAGCGUGAGUGACGGUGAUGGGUAAAGAAGCACCGGCUAACUACGUGCCAGCAGCCGCGGUGAUACGUAGGGUGCGAGCGUUGUCCGGAUUUAUUGGGCGUAAAGGGCUCGUAGGUGGUUGAUCGCGUCGGAGGUGUAAUCUUGGGGCUUAACCCUGAGCGUGCUUUCGAUACGGGUUGACUUGAGGAAGGUAGGGGAGAAUGGAAUUCCUGGUGGAGCGGUGGAAUGCGCGGAUAUCAGGAGGAACACCAGUGGCGAAGGCGGUUCUCUGGGCCUUUCCUGACGCUGAGGAGCGAAAGCGUGGGGAGCGAACAGGCUUAGAUACCCUGGUAGUCCACGCUGUAAACGGUGGGUACUAGGUGUGGGGUCCAUUCCACGGGUUCCGUGCCGUAGCUAACGCUUUAAGUACCCCGCCUGGGGAGUACGGCCGCAAGGCUAAAACUCAAAGGAAUUGACGGGGCCCCGCACAAGCGGCGGAGCAUGCGGAUUAAUUCGAUGCAACGCGUAGAACCUUACCUGGGUUUGACAUGGAUCGGGAGUGCUCAGAGAUGGGUGUGCCUCUUUUGGGGUCGGUUCACAGGUGGUGCAUGGCUGUCGUCAGCUCGUGUCGUGAGAUGUUGGGUUAAGUCCCGCAACGAGCGCAACCCUUGUACACUGUUGCCAGCACGUUAUGGUGGGGACUCAGUGGAGACCGCCGGGGUCAACUCGGAGGAAGGUGGGGAUGACGUCAAGUCAUCAUGCCCCUUAUGUCCAGGGCUUCACGCAUGCUACAAUGGCUGGUACAGAGAGUGGCGAGCCUGUGAGGGUGAGCGAAUCUCGGAAAGCCGGUCUCAGUUCGGAUUGGGGUCUGCAACUCGACCUCAUGAAGUCGGAGUCGCUAGUAAUCGCAGAUCAGCAACGCUGCGGUGAAUACGUUCCCGGGGCU